UUCUGGUUGAUCCUGCCGGAGGCUACCGCUAUUGGAGUUCGAUUAAGCCAUGCGAGUCGCGAGAAAUUAGAUUCUCGGCGUACCGCUCAGUAACACGUGGGUAACCUGCCCUAUGCUGGAUAAUAACCUCGGGAAACUGAGAAUAAUGAUCCAUAGUUCACUACGCCUGGAACGGUGAGUGGAUGAAAGCUCCGGCGGCAUAGGAUGGGCCUGCGGCGUAUCAGGUUGUAGGGGGUGUAACGUACCCUCUAGCCCUCUACGCGUACGGGUGUUGGGAGACAUAGCCCGGAGAUGGAUUCUGAGACACGAAUCCAGACCCUACGGGGUGCAGCAGGCGCGAAAACUUGGCAAUGCGAGAAAUCGUGACCAGGGAACUCCAAGUGCAUCGGGUAAGACCGGUGCUUUUCUUGACUCUAAAUAGGUCUUGGAAUAAGGGGUGGGUAAGGACGGUGCCAGCCGCCGCGGUAAUACCGGCGCCUCAAGUGGUAGUCGCUUUUAUUGGGCCUAAAACGUCCGUAGCCGGUCUGAUACAUUCGUGGGUAAAUCAACCAGCUCAACUGGUUGAAUUCUGCGAGGACGGUCAGACUUGGGACCGGGAGAGGUGUGGGGUACGCUCAGGGUAGGGGUAAAAUCCUGUCAUCCUGAGCGGACCACCUGUUGCGAAGGCGCCACACUAGAACGGAUCCGACGGUCAGGGACGAAGCCUAGGGGCACGAACCGGAUUAGAUACCCGGGUAGUCCUAGGUGUAAACGCUGUGGACUUGAUGUUGGGGGUGCUCCGAGCACUCUCAGUGUCGAAGCGAAGGUGAUAAGUCCACUGCCUGGGAAGUACGGUCGCAAGGCUGAAACUUAAAGGAAUUGGCGGGGGAGCACCGCAACCUGAGGAUUGUGCGGUUUAAUUGGACUCAACGCCGGGA
rnacentral:rRNA from 1 species